AUCAACGCUGGCGGCGUGCAUGAGACAUGCAAGUCGAACGGACGGUCGAGGCUUGCCUGGACCGUUAGUGGCGGACGGCUGAGUAACGCGUGGGUGACCUGCCCCGGAGUGGGGAAUAACUGCCCGAAAGGGUGGCUAAUACCGCAUGUGCCGGUACGUUCAUUCGUGCCAGCAAAGCCGCAAGGCGCUUCGGGAGGGGCCUGCGUCCGAUUAGCUCGUUGGUGGGGUAACGGCUCACCAAGGCGACGAUCGGUAGGUGGUCUGAGAGGACGAUCACCCAGACUGGGACUGAGACACGGCCCAGACUCCUACGGGAGGCAGCAGUCGGGAAUUUUGCGCAAUGGACGAAAGUCUGACGCAGCAACGCCGCGUGAGGGAUGAAGGCCUUCGGGUUAUAAACCUCUUUUCUCAGGGAAGAUAAUGACGGUACCUGAGGAAUAAGCCACGGCUAACUACGU
rnacentral:rRNA from 1 species